UACGUAGGGGGCAAGCGUUGUCCGGAUUUAUUGGGCGUAAAGAGCGUGUAGGCGGCCAUACAGGUCAGCUGUGAAAACUCGAGGCUCAACCUCGAGACGUCGGUUGAAACCGUAUGGCUAGAGUCCGGAAGAGGAGAGUGGAAUUCCCGGUGUAGCGGUGAAAUGCGCAGAUAUCGGGAAGAACACCCGUGGCGAAGGCGGCUCUCUGGACCGAGACUGACGCUGAGGCGCGAAAGCGUGGGGAGCGAACAGG
rnacentral:rRNA from 1 species